UACGUAGGGUGCGAGCGUUGUCCGGAAUUAUUGGGCGUAAAGAGCUCGUAGGCGGCUUGUCGCGUCGGAUGUGAAAGCCCGGGGCUUAACUCCGGGUCUGCAUUCGAUACGGGCAGGCUAGAGUUCGGUAGGGGAGAUCGGAAUUCCUGGUGUAGCGGUGAAAUGCGCAGAUAUCAGGAGGAACACCGGUGGCGAAGGCGGCCAUCUGGCUCGGUACUGACGCUCAGGUUCGAAAGCGUGGGGAGCAAACAGG
rnacentral:rRNA from 1 species